AUAGCUGCUGAGAGUGAGAGACACUUUAAUAAUCUAGAAUGAAAUAUUUCACAGUGAGAGAGAAGGAAUUAACUAUGAACUUAAGUUCAGUGCACCCACCUCAACAUAUCAAGGUCUGAUAAAAUCCCCUUUAAUCAAAGCCAGUUCUGUUUCCAAAUUAAUGAUAUUCCAUUAUGCCGACAAAGCCAGCAUGACUCUCAAUUAUUAUUCUUUUAUACUUCUGUGUAGAGCCCAGCAUUUGUGGAUCAGUAUCUGUUAUUAAUCAAGCAACAUGUAAGGUGCAAUCUGUUGUUACAUUGAUUUUGUCUUCAAGGACACCGCUAAGUGCUUUUUUGGCACCAGAGAAGUUUUCCAUCCCUGUGAUCCUGGAAGGAAAAUCGUUUAGGUGCUGACAAUGAAAUAAUCCAGGACGAACAGGUACAUAAGGUCAGAUCACGUGCAAAGCAGACUAAUGCCAAGAAGGAUGAUUGUUCGGGUGCUGAGAGUGAAAUCAUCCAGGAGGAAAAGGUGUUUAAGGUCAGAUCGCAUGCAAAGCAGACUAAUGCCAAGAGGAAGGAUGAUUGUUUGGGUGCUGACAGUGAAAUUAUCCAUGAGACACAGACAUUUAAGGAGAGAUCCCAUGCAAAGCGGACUAAAGCCAAGAGGAAGGAGGAUUGUUUCGGCUCUGACAGUGAAAUAAUUCAGGAUGAACAGAUCUGUUUACCUGAGGAGAGAUUAGAAGAAAUGAGCAGUUCCACGACUCACCAGCUCAACAAAACCGGAGAGGAGGCCACUGGGGUGAAAAGAAACCGAAAAGUAAAGACAACAACUUUACAGCCAGAAACAAAGGUGACACGGGGGUCAAGGAAGUCCAAAGGUGCUGCGCCUGCUAUCAGCCCUAAAUCAACACAUUUCACUCCCAGAGCACAUUCACCGGAGUCUUUGUCUCCUGAAGGACAGGCAGAAAUCCAGACAGGAUUACCAGCGGAGGCAGAGUGAGUCUCAGUCACAUGGAAUAUUGUGCUCUUGUUUUUGUGUUUAUAAAAUCUGUCCUGAUGCGCAGGACUGGUAAGUAUGAUUGACACGCUUGUGUAUUUGAAUUCGAAAAGCCAAAUGACAAUAAAUUCCCUGAAUGUUCUCAGCAUGCACAUAUAACCCCUCUAUCCAAAUAAAUGAUGCAUAAGGGAUUGUGUUAUGUUGAAAAAGUUUAUAAUAUUGUGCUAAAUUGUGACCCGGUCAGAGAGAAACGGUAACAAAAUACUGCUUUAGUUAACUAGCAGUUAUAGUUUAUAAUUAUAUUUCAUCAGAGAGGGUUAGAGGAUUUUUAAUAAUAAAUAUGACCCAGUGCUCUUUGUAAUUUCUGGCCAGUAAAUCCCGACGUCCUUUUAAUUUCCCCAAACUCCUCCCUCUCAAUUCUGGCCACUUCAUCAGUUCUUACCUCUUCAAUCAUCAGCCUGCUUGCAUUCCCGUUGUGUUUUGGUGUACACAAAGCAGGUUGCGACUUCAGGCAAGAGGUCAAACAGCCUGGCUCCAAGGUUUUUGGGACUCAUUAAUAUCCUGUCUAAUCACUGUUUGCAUUCCUCUCUCGUCACUCCAUCUGUCCCAGUCUCCGGCACACUUUGAUUGUAGCUCAGAUUUCAGCCUGAACCCUUCUCAGGCCUUAUGAGGGGUGAGAAAGCCGAGUGGAGAUUAGGGUAUCGCUUCACAUCUGAGCUCAUAUCAGUAAAUCUCUCUCAUUCCCUACCUUACUCCGUCUGGACUAUAUCUUUAACUUCUGAACUUCCGACACUCUCCUCAAAAAUGAUACCCAUUAACAUAUAUGAUAUCCAUUGUUGUUAGUUUUGACAGAAAAGGUCAUUCGGAAAACACAGGUGGAAGAGAAUAUGCAGAACAUAUGCUGGUGGAGGAAGUGAAGAAAAAUAAAAAGUCUAAUAAGCAAACAGGCAAAUCAAAAGGGAAGAGUGUUCAAAUUCAUGAAGGCAUUGAGACCCUGAAUACCAGUGUUCCUGAUGAUCCCACUCCUACUUCAAAGAAAGUGAGUUACAUACUAGUCCAUAUGCUCAUGUUGAUUUUAUAUGCCUUAUAUUUGUUAUAACAUUCUCUCAAUCUGCAGAAGAAAAAGAAAACAGGAAAACAGAAAAAAGAAGAGACUAAAGAAGAAAAGGAAGAGCCCAUAAAAGCCCAGAAUGUGACAGUUAAAGUUAAAAAGAAAAAGGGUCAACCAGCAUUUGUUGUAGGUGAGUUUAUGUUAAGAUAAGCUAGUGAGCUGUCUCCAUCAGCAGCAUGAAUAUUUUACAUUUAUAUCAUUAAACAUUCAUAUGCAACGCUUAAAAGUGCUUAGACAAUUGUUUAAAAUAGUUUUUUUUUUACUGCUCAAAAGUUUGGGGUGAGUUUGUUAUGAUUUUUUUUAAGAAUGUAAUACUUUUAUUCAGCAAGGAUGCAUUAAAUUGAUCAAAAGUGACAGUUAAGAAAUGUUAUAAAAUAAUUCAACUUCCAAUUUUUUACUUUCUAUUCUAUUUCAAAGAAUCCUGAAAAAAAAAUGCUCACACAAAAAUAUUAAUAUUAAUAAGAACAACUGUUUUAAACAUUAAUAAUAAUAAUAAUAACAAUAAUAAUAAAUAUCUACUGAGCAGCAAAUCAGCAUAUUAGAAUGAUUGUUUAAACAGAAAAAAAAAUUAAGAAAAUCCCAUUUUAAUGCCUCUGUUUUUAGGAAAACCAC
rnacentral:lncRNA from 1 species